rnacentral:rRNA from 1 species
AACGGCCAUAUCAUGCUGAAUAUACCGGUUCUCGUUAGAUUACCGAAGUCAAGCAUCAUUGGGCGCGGUCAGUACUUGGGUGGGUGACCACCUGGGAACACCGCGUGCCGUU